rnacentral:tRNA from 1 species
GCGGAAGUAGCUCAGUUGGUAGAGCGUCUGCCUUCCAAGCAGAAUGUCGCGGGUCCGAGUCCCGUCUUCCGCUCCA